AGAGUUUGAUCCUGGCUCAGGAUGAACGCUGGCGGCGUGCCUAAUACAUGCAAGUCGAGCGGUAACAGGAGAAGCUUGCUUCUCGCUGACGAGCGGCGGACGGCUGAGUAACACGUAGGAACGUACCCCAAAGUGAGGGAUAAGCACCAGAAAUGGUGUCUAAUACCGCAUGUGCUCCACGGAGUAAAGCUUCGGCGCUU
rnacentral:rRNA from 1 species